rnacentral:rRNA from 1 species
CGUCAAAUCAUCAUGCCCUUAUGUUCUGGGCUACACACGUGCUACAAUGGCCGGUACAGACGGACGCAAAGCCGCGAGGUGGAGCAAAUCCUAAAAAGCCGGUCUCAGUUCGGAUUGCAGGCUGCAAUUCGCCUGCAUGAAGUCGGAAUCGCUAGUAAUCGCAGGUCAGCAUACUGCGGUGAAUACGUUCCCGGGCCUU